GACGAACGCUGGCGGCGUGCUUAACACAUGCAAGUCGAACGGAAAGGCCCUGCUUUUGUGUGGUGCUCGAGUGGCGAACGGGUGAGUAACACGUGAGUAACCUGCCCUUGACUUUGGGAUAACUUCAGGAAACUGGGGCUAAUACCGGAUAGGAGCUGCUGCUGCAUGGUGGGGGUUUGAAAGUUUCGGCGGUUGGGGAUGGACUCGCGGCUUAUCAGCUUGUUGGUGGGGUAGUGGCUUACCAAGGCUUUGACGGGUAGCCGGCCUGAGAGGGUGACCGGCCACAUUGGGACUGAGAUACGGCCCAGACUCCUACGGGAGGCAGCAGUGGGGAAUAUUGCACAAUGGGCGGAAGCCUGAUGCAGCAACGCCGCGUGCGGGAUGACGGCCUUCGGGUUGUAAACCGCUUUCGCCUGUGACGAAGCGUGAGUGACGGUAAUGGGUAAAGAAGCACCGGCUAACUACGUG
rnacentral:rRNA from 1 species